GACAGAGGUCCCAAGCGUUAGGCGGAAUCACGUGGCUUAAAGCGUGUGUAGGCGGAUUUGUAAGUACCUUGUGAAAUCCCACGGCUCAACCGUGGAACUGCUUGGUAUACUGCUUAUCUUGGGCCAUCUAGGGGCGAGCGGAACAAACGGUGGAGCGGAUGAAUGCGUAGAUAUCGUUGGAACGCCAUGGUGAAAACAGCUCGCUGGGGAUGUGCCGACGCUGAGACACGAAAGCCAGGGAGGCGAACGGG
rnacentral:rRNA from 1 species